AUUGAACGCUGGCGGCAGGCCUAACACAUGCAAGUCGAACGAGUGGCGGACGGGUGAGUAAUGUCUGGGAACCUGCCCGAUGGAGGGGGAUAACUACUGGAAACGGUAGCUAAUACCGCAUACCAUCGGAUGUGCCCAGAUUGGAUUAGCUAGGAGGUGGGGUAACGGCUCACCUAGGCGACGAUCCCUAGCUGGGCUGAGAGGAUGACCAGCCACACUGGAACUGAGACACGGUCCAGACUCCUACGGGAGGCAGCAGUGGGGAAUAUUGGACAAUGGGCGCAAGCCUGAUGCAGCCAUGCCGCGUGUAUGAAGAAGGCCUGCGGGUUGUAAAGUACUUUCAGCGAGGAGGCGUUACUCGCAGAAGAAGCACCGGCUAACUCCGUGCCAGCAGCCGCGGUAAUAC
rnacentral:rRNA from 1 species